ensembl:lncRNA
CACACACACACACACACACACACACACACACACACACACUAAACAAGCACAUAGAUACAUAUAAUGAAAUACUUUGAAGAAAAAAAUCUCAGCAAUAGGAAAAGAAGACUCAUGGGAGGGAAAUGACUGAGUAGAAUGAUGUCAUUAUGCAACAAGACAGGUCCAGGAUAAGAUGAAGCCUAUCAUUGGAUAAGAAGGAACAGUAGGAGGGAAAAAGUCAAGGAAGAAGAGAGGAGGAAGAGAAGCUGAAGAAAAUCAAGAUGGAGAUGAUGGAACAGGAUGAUCCAGAAUCAGGUGGACUAGGUCAAUUUUACCUUGUCUAGUUAUUUCUGAUUCUAGAGAUGAGUGCCUAGAGAAUUAUAAUCAGAGAACCUGCCUCUGGCAUCUAAGGAAGCAGAUGCAGAAACCUACAGCCAAACAUUGGGCAGGGACAGAAUCCAGGUUGGAAGUUUCCAUUGGGUCCCUUCCUUUGAAGCUCAGAGAACCUCAAGAAAAACAAGAGAAGUAAUAUGGGAAGCAAGAAGGGUUGAGGAUACCAGGAGAACAUGGCCUACAGAAUCAGCUAAACAGAGGUCAGGAGGAAUCAGAAAGUUUGAGGUGGCGAGUGUGGAACCCCCGUGAGUCUAUGCUAGAUUCUGUUUGUUUAUGUUAUGGCUGUUGGAUUGAUGUUUUUGGAGGACUCCUGACAGUGUGCUUGGAGGUGUCUCUGACUCUUUUGCCUUCUACUGAGAUCCUUUUGCUCCUGCUGGGUUGCCUCUUCCAACCUUGAUGUGAUGGUUUAUGCCUACUCUUACUGCAUGCUGUUAUGUUGGACUUGUUGAUGAUUUUAGGAGUCGUGCUCUGUUUUGGGUAGAUAUGGCAAAGGAGUGGAUCUGGGAAGAGAGAAAGUGAGAAGAACCAGGAGGAGUGGAAGGAGGGAACGCUACAGUUGAGAUGUAUUUUAUGAGAGAAGAAUAAAUUACACCUUUGAAUUUUUCUUCACUUCUUCACAAUGAAAUAUUUAUUUUACUUUCACAUCACCCAAUUAUCUUCCAAGAUGAG